UACGGAGGGUGCAAGCGUUGUCCGGAAUCACUGGGCGUAAAGGGCGCGUAGGCGGCUCAUGAAGGCUGUGGUGAAAGUCCGGGGCUCAACCUCGGAUCGGCCGUGGCGACUCGUGGGCUGGAGCACUGUAGAGGCGGGUGGAAUUCCGGGUGUAGCGGUGGAAUGCGUAGAGAUCCGGAAGAACACCGGUGGCGAAGGCGGGUCUCUGGGCAGUAACUGACGCUGAGGAGCGAAAGCGUGGGGAGCGAACAGG
rnacentral:rRNA from 1 species